GUUGUUGGGUAGGGGAGCGUUCUGUAAGCCGUUGAAGGUGUGCUGUGAGGCAUGCUGGAGGUAUCAGAAGUGCGAAUGCUGACAUAAGUAACGAUAAAGCGGGUGAAAAGCCCGCUCGCCGGAAGACCAAGGGUUCCUGUCCAACGUUAAUCGGGGCAGGGUGAGUCGACCCCUAAGGCGAGGCCGAAAGGCGUAGUCGAUGGGAAACAGGUUAAUAUUCCUGUACUUGGUGUUACUGCGAAGGGGGGACGGAGAAGGCUAUGUCAGCCGGGCGACGGUUGUCCCGGUUUAAGCGUGUAGGUGUGUGUUCCAGGCAAAUCCGGUUCACUUUAACACUGAGGCGUGAUGACGAGGCACUACGGUGCUGAAGUGAUAAAUGCCCUGCUUCCAGGAAAAGCCUCUAAGCAUCAGGUAACACGAAAUCGUACCCCAAACCGACACAGGUGGUCAGGUAGAGAAUACCAAGGCGCUUGAGAGAACUCGGGUGAAGGAACUAGGCAAAAUGGUGCCGUAACUUCGGGAGAAGGCACGCUGAUAUGUAGGUGAAG
rnacentral:rRNA from 1 species